rnacentral:rRNA from 1 species
UAGGGCGUUUAGUAUUUGGUCGUAGACCCGAAACCAGGUGAUCUACCCUUGGUCAGGUUGAAGUUCAGGUAACACUGAAUGGAGGACCGAACCGACUUACGUUGAAAAGUGAGCGGAUGAACUGAGGGUAGCGGAGAAAUUCCAAUCGAACCUGGAGAUAGCUGGUUCUCUCCGAAAUAGCUUUAGGGCUAGCCUCAAGUGAUGAUUAUUGGAGGUAGAGCACUGUUUGGACGAGGGGCCCCUCUCGGGUUACCGAAUUCAGACAAACUCCGAAUGCCAAUUAAUUUAACUUGGGAGUCAGAACAUGGGUGAUAAGGUCCGUGUUCGAAAGGGAAACAGCCCAGACCACCAGCUAAGGUCCCAAAAUAUAUGUUAAGUGGAAAAGGAUGUGGCGUUGCCCAGACAACUAGGAUGUUGGCUUAGAAGCAGCCAUCAUUUAAAGAGUGCGUAAUAGCUCACUAGUCGAGUGACACUGCGCCGAAAAUGUACCGGGGCUAAACAUAUUACCGAAGCUGUGGAUUGUCCUUUGGACAAUGGUAGGAGAGCGUUCUAAGGGCGUUGAAGCAUGAUCGUAAGGACAUGUGGAGCGCUUAGAAGUGAGAAUGCCGGUGUGAGUAGCGAAAGACGGGUGAGAAUCCCGUCCACCGAUUGACUAAGGUUUCCAGAGGAAGGCUCGUCCGCUCUGGGUUAGUCGGGUCCUAAGCUGAGGCCGACAGGCGUAGGCGAUGGAUAACAGGUUGAUAUUCCUGUACCACCUAUAAUCGUUUUA